UGGGGAAUAUUGCACAAUGGGCGCAAGCCUGAUGCAGCCAUGCCGCGUGUAUGAAGAAGGCCUUCGGGUUGUAAAGUACUUUCAGCGGGGAGGAAGGCGAUAAGGUUAAUAACCAUGUCGAUUGACGUUACCCGCAGAAGAAGCACCGGCUAACUCCGUGCCAGCAGCCGCGGUAAUACGGAGGGUGCAAGCGUUAAUCGGAAUUACUGGGCGUAAAGCGCACGCAGGCGGUCUGUCAAGUCGGAUGUGAAAUCCCCGGGCUCAACCUGGGAACUGCAUUCGAAACUGGCAGGCUAGAGUCUUGUAGAGGGGGGUAGAAUUCCAGGUGUAGCGGUGAAAUGCGUAGAGAUCUGGAGGAAUACCGGUGGCGAAGGCGGCCCCCUGGACAAAGACUGACGCUCAGGUGCGAAAGCGUGGGGAGCAAACA
rnacentral:rRNA from 1 species